GCCUAUGGCCAUGGUAGAUUGAAUGUACUCAUUCUUGUCUGAUCUCAGGAUUGAGGCAGUCCAAAGGCUGGCUACUGCCUGGAUGGGAGACCGCCUGGGAAUUUGGGUACUGUAGGCA
ensembl:rRNA 5S_rRNA 5S ribosomal RNA